rnacentral:rRNA from 64 species
AAAACGACUCUCGGCAACGGAUAUCUCGGCUCUCGCAUCGAUGAAGAACGUAGCGAAAUGCGAUACUUGGUGUGAAUUGCAGAAUCCCGUGAACCAUCGAGUCUUUGAACGCAAGUUGCGCCCCAAGCCUUCUGGCCGAGGGCACGUCUGCCUGGGUGUCACAAAUC